GUCCCUGUGGUGUAGUCCAGCCAACAUGCCUGCCUCUCAUGCAGGAGAUCACCGGAGCGAAGCCGGUCAGGGACGCCA
rnacentral:tRNA from 1 species